rnacentral:rRNA from 1 species
GACGAACGCUGGCGGCGUGCCUGACACAUGCAAGUCGAACGGAGAUUUUAUUUAUGAAAUCUUAGUGGCGAACGGGUGAGUAACGCGUAGACAACCUGCCUUUUAGAUGGGGACAACACCGCGAAAGUGGUGCUAAUACCGAAUGUUGUAUUUUGGUCGCAUGAUUGAGAUACUAAAGAUGGCCUCUAUUUAUAAGCCAUCACUAAAAGAUGGGUCUGCGUCUGAUUAGCUAGUUGGUGAGGUAAUGGCUCACCAAGGCGACGAUCAGUAGCCGGUCUGAGAGGAUGAACGGCCACACUGGGACUGAGACACGGCCCAGACUCCUACGGGAGGCAGCAGUGGGGAAUCUUCCGCAAUGGACGAAAGUCUGACGGAGCAACGCCGCGUGAGUGAAGAAGGUUUUCGGAUCGUAAAACUCUGUUUUCAGGGACGAAUGUGCGAUGUGUAAAUAAUGCAUUGUAAUGACGGUACCUGAGUAGAAAGCCACGGCUAACUACGUGCCAGCCGCCGCAGUAA